UACGUAGGGGGCAAGCGUUGUCCGGAUUUAUUGGGCGUAAAGAGCGUGUAGGCGGCCAGGUAGGUCAGCUGUGAAAACUCGAGGCUUAACCUCGAGACGCCGGCUGAAACCCGCUGGCUAGAGUCCGGAAGAGGAGAGCGGAAUUCCUGGUGUAGCGGUGAAAUGCGCAGAUAUCGGGAGGAACACCUAUGGCGAAGGCAGCUCGCUGGGACGUUACUGACGCUGAGACGCGAAAGCGUGGGGAGCAAACAGG
rnacentral:rRNA from 1 species